AUGUGGCCGGGACGAGCAACAGCGAGAGAUCGCGAUGGCUGUGCAAUCACUCGUGGCGGAGGAAUCUUUAAAUGGGUGGCUGCGGCGUCGGGCAUCUCGCAUCGGAUGUAUGAUUGUUGCGCAGAUCCGAAGCUCAAUGGUGAUUGGAGUAGUGGCAUCGUGCGAUUGGAGGGGUGUAGUAGCAGAAUUUGGAGUGUAGUAUCAUUGGAAAGAUUUGGAUGA